GAAAGUUUAUUUAUUUCAAGUCGGGCCUGCUCAAUGAUUUAUAAUAAUUAAAUAGCCGCAGUAUUUUGACUGUGCGAAGGUAGCAUAAUCAUUUGUCUUUUAAUUGAAGGCUUGUAUGAAGGGUUUGACAAAAUGUGGGCUUUCUUUACAUUAAAUCGUUGAAUUUAAUUUUUGAGUUAAAAAGCUUAAAUGUUUUAAUAGGACGAGAAGACCCUAUAGAAUUUUAUUAUUUGUGGUUUAUAUUAUAAUUGGUUUAUUUAUUUAUUAUAUGUUAUAAAUAAUUUUGUUGGGGUGAUGGGGAAAUUUUCUUAACUUUCUUUAUUUAUUUAAUAUAAAUUAAUAUAUUAAUGAUCCUUUUUAUGGAUAAUAAGUUUAAAUUACCUUAGGGAUAACAGCGUAAU
rnacentral:rRNA from 1 species